UACGUAGGGUGCGAGCGUUAAUCGGAAUUACUGGGCGUAAAGCGUGCGCAGGCGGUUUUGUAAGACAGGUGUGAAAUCCCCGGGCUUAACCUGGGAACUGCGCUUGUGACUGCAAGACUCGAGUACGGCAGAGGGGGGUAGAAUUCCACGUGUAGCAGUGAAAUGCGUAGAGAUGUGGAGGAAUACCGAUGGCGAAGGCAGCCCCCUGGGUCGAUACUGACGCUCAUGCACGAAAGCGUGGGGAGCGAACAGG
rnacentral:rRNA from 1 species